GGCGGGUUCCGCUAGGUCGGACCUCACCGCCGAAGGUUAAUACGGUUCAACCUUUGAAGCCCGGGCGACGCUGUGAGGGCUCGUUACUAGGCUUGGUUGACACCAUCAAUCCAUUUUUGUUCCUUUGCUGGUAUCCUGUUUUUCCAUUUGGAAGCUUGUGGAGUUUUCCUUUUUUUUUUUCAGAGUUCAGAAUUUUCACCAGAAUGUGUGAAGGUGGAUGUUAAUGCAAUUCUCCUAUUGGUCACCACACUGUCCUCUGGAUUGUUCACUCAGACCUAUCAAGAGAACACAGUCUCCAUGGCUUUAGAAAGUUCAA